UACGUAGGGGGCUAGCGUUGUCCGGAAUCAUUGGGCGUAAAGAGCGUGUAGGCGGCUCGGUAAGUCCGCUGUAAAAGUCAAAGGCUCAACCUUUGAAUGUCAGUGGAUACUGCCGGGCUAGAGUCCGGAAGAGGCGAGUGGAACUCCUGGUGUAGCGGUGGAAUGCGCAGAUAUCAGGAAGAACACCCGUGGCGAAGGCGGCUCUCUGGGACGGUACUGACGCUGAGACGCGAAAGCGUGGGGAGCAAACAGG
rnacentral:rRNA from 1 species